GUGCUCGCUUCAGCAGCACGUAUACUAAACUUGGAAUGAUACAGAGAAGAUUAGCAUGGCCUGUGCAAGGAUAUGCAAAUUCAUGAAGCGUUACCUAUAUUU